UGGGGAAUAUUGGACAAUGGGCGCAAGCCUGAUCCAGCCAUGCCGCGUGAGUGAUGAAGGCCCUAGGGUUGUAAAGCUCUUUCACCGGUGAAGAUAAUGACGGUAACCGGAGAAGAAGCCCCGGCUAACUUCGUGCCAGCAGCCGCGGUAAUACGAAGGGGGCUAGCGUUGUUCGGAUUUACUGGGCGUAAAGCGCACGUAGGCGGACUAUUAAGUCAGGGGUGAAAUCCCGGGGCUCAACCCCGGAACUGCCUUUGAUACUGGUAGUCUUGAGUUCGAGAGAGGUGAGUAGAAUUCCGAGUGUAGAGGUGAAAUUCGUAGAUAUUCGGAGGAACACCAGUGGCGAAGGCGGCUCACUGGCUCGAUACUGACGCUGAGGUGCGAAAGCGUGGAGAGCAAACAGG
rnacentral:rRNA from 1 species